rnacentral:rRNA from 1 species
GACGAGCCACACAAACGUUAUUCGGAAUCACUGGGCGUAAAGGGUGCGCAGGCGGCCAAGUGUGUUAGGCGUGAAAGCCCGGGGCUUAACCCCGGAAUUGCACCUAAAACUACAUGGCUAGAGCAUUGGAGAGGGUAGCGGAAUUCACGGUGUAGCAGUGAAAUGCGUAGAUAUCGUGAGGAACACCAGAGGCGAAGGCGGCUACCUGGACAAUUGCUGACGCUCAGGCACGAAAGCGUGGGGAGCAAAAGGG